rnacentral:rRNA from 1 species
GACGAACGCUGGCGGCGUGCUUAACACAUGCAAGUCGAACGGAAAGGCCCUGCCUUUGUGGGGUGCUCGAGUGGCGAACGGGUGAGUAACACGUGAGUAAUCUGCCCUUGACUUUGGGAUAACUUCAGGAAACUGGGGCUAAUACCGGAUAGGAGCUCCUGCUGCAUGGUGGGGGUGGGAAAGUUUCGGCGGUUGGGGAUGGGCUCGCGGCUUAUCAGCUUGUUGGUGGGGUAGUGGCUUACCAAGGCUUUGGCGGGUGGCCGGCCUGAGAGGGUGACCGGCCACAUUGGGACUGAGAUACGGCCCAGACUCCUACGGGAGGCAGCAGUGGGGAAUAUUGCACAAUGGGCGGAAGCCUGAUGCAGCGACGCCGCGUGCGGGAUGACGGCCUUCGGGUUGUAAACCGCUUUCGCCUGUGACGAAGCGUGAGUGACGGUAACUGGUGAAGAAGCACCGGCUAACUACGUG